UACGGAGGGGGCUAGCGUUGUUCGGAAUUACUGGGCGUAAAGCGCGCGUAGGCGGCUUUGUAAGUUAGAGGUGAAAGCCCGGAGCUCAACUCCGGAACUGCCUUUAAGACUGCAUCGCUAGAAUUGUGGAGAGGUAAGUGGAAUUCCGAGUGUAGAGGUGAAAUUCGUAGAUAUUCGGAAGAACACCAGUGGCGAAGGCGACUUACUGGACACAUAUUGACGCUGAGGUGGCGAAAGCGUGGGGAGCAAACAGG
rnacentral:rRNA from 1 species